GAUGAACGCUGGCGGCGUGCCUAAUACAUGCAAGUCGAGCGAACGGACGAGAAGCUUGCUUCUCUGAUGUUAGCGGCGGACGGGUGAGUAACACGUGGAUAACCUACCUAUAAGACUGGGAUAACUUCGGGAAACCGGAGCUAAUACCGGAUGAUAUUUUGAACCGCAUGGUUCAAAAGUGAAAGACGGUCUUGCUGUCACUUAUAGAUGGAUCCGCGCUGCAUUAGCUAGUUGGUAAGGUAACGGCUUACCAAGGCAACGAUGCAUAGCCGACCUGGAGGGGGGUUGGGCCACAGGGGAGUUGAGCGACGACCCAGACGCCGAGGGGGGGCAGAAGCAGGAAAUCUUCGGAAAAGGGGGAAAGCCUGGAGGAGCAACGCCGGGGGGGUGAAGAAGGGCUGCGUGCCGUAAAACUCUGUUUUUGGGGAAAAACAUUUGGGUAAGUAACGGGGCAAUUUUGGCGGGAACCAAUAAAGAAACCCCGGGCAACCAACGG
rnacentral:rRNA from 1 species